rnacentral:rRNA from 1 species
AUACGGAGGAUGCAAGCGUUAUCCGGAUUUAUUGGGUUUAAAGGGUGCGUAGGCGGGAUUUUAAGCGUGAGGUGAAAUGCCACGGCUCAACCGUGGAACUGCCUCGCGAACUGGGAUUCUUGAAUGCCCCUGCCGUGGGAGGAAUGGGUGGUGUAGCGGUGAAAUGCAUAGAGAUCACACAGAACACCGAUUGCGAAGGCAUCUCACGAAGGGGUGAUUGACGCUGAGGCACGAAAGCGUGGGGAUCAAACAGGAUUAGAUACCCUGGUAGUCCACGCAGUAAACGAUGAUAACUAACCGCUGGGGAGCGAUUUUCAGUGGCCAAGCGAAAGCGAUAAGUUAUCCACCUGGGGAGUACGACCGCAAGGUUGAAACUCAAAGGAAUUGACGGGG